GAAUAUUAGUCAAUGCUCGAAAGAGUGAACUAGCUAACUGAAAUCAAUUAAAAAUUGAUAACAUAAGGGAAAAUAAUGAUAUUACCUUAUUAUUAGUGUCGUCCAAAACUGGUGCCAGAAGACUCGGUAAGGCCAGAGACACAAACGUUAAUCGUCUUAAUCAGGCGUAAAGGGUUUGUAGGCGGCUUUUAAUUUACUUAUAUAUAUUAUAAAAUAAGUUAAGAAUAAAAGCUAGAAUCAAAUAGAGGAUAUAUCAAAUAAUGCUUAGAGUAGGUCUGAUAUCCUUAGAUACUAAGUAGAAUAUUAAAGGCGAAAGCUUUUUUCCAUAAAUGAUUGACGCUCAGAAACGAAGGUGAGGAUAGGAAAUAGGAUUAGAUACCCAAAAUACCCCUCUCUGUCAACGAUGAAUGGUAAUUAUUAAUAAUAAAUUUAUUAUUAAUGGCAAUGUUAACACGAUAACCAUUCCGCCUUGUGAGUACAACUGCAAAGUUGAAAACAAAAAAAUUAGUCGGUUUCGGAGCAAACGAAGUGAAGCAUGUUAUUUAAUUC
rnacentral:rRNA from 1 species